rnacentral:rRNA from 1 species
CGGGGGGGGCGUGCUAAUACAUGCAAGUCGAGCGAACUGAUUAGAAGCUUGCUUCUAUGACGUUAGCGGCGGACGGGUGAGUAACACGUGGGCAACCUGCCUGUAAGACUGGGAUAACUUCGGGAAACCGAAGCUAAUACCGGAUAGGAUCUUCUCCUUCAUGGGAGAUGAUUGAAAGAUGGUUUCGGCUAUCACUUACAGAUGGGCCCGCGGUGCAUUAGCUAGUUGGUGAGGUAACGGCUCACCAAGGCAACGAUGCAUAGCCGACCUGAGAGGGUGAUCGGCCACACUGGGACUGAGACACGGCCCAGACUCCUACGGGAGGCAGCAGUAGGGAAUCUUCCGCAAUGGACGAAAGUCUGACGGAGCAACGCCGCGUGAGUGAUGAAGGCUUUCGGGUCGUAAAACUCUGUUGUUAGGGAAGAACAAGUACGAGAGUAACUGCUCGUACCUUGACGGUACCUAACCAGAAAGCCACGGCUAACUACGUGCCAGCAGCCGCGGUAAUACGUAGGUGGCAAGCGUUAUCCGGAAUUAUUGGGCGUAAAGCGCGCGCAGGCGGUUUCUUAAGUCUGAUGUGAAAGCCCACGGCUCAACCGUGGAGGGUCAUUGGAAACUGGGGAACUUGAGUGCAGAAGAGAAAAGCGGAAUUCCACGUGUAGCGGUGAAAUGCGUAGAGAUGUGGAGGAACACCAGUGGCGAAGGCGGCUUUUUGGUCUGUAACUGACGCUGAGGCGCGAAAGCGUGGGGAGCAAACAGGAUUAGAUACCCUGGUAGUCCACGCCGUAAACGAUGAGUGCUAAGUGUUAGAGGGUUUCCGCCCUUUAGUGCUGCAGCUAACGCAUUAAGCACUCCGCCUGGGGGAGUACGGUCGCAAGACUGAAACUCAAAGGAAUUUGACGGGGGCCCGCACAAGCGGGUGGGAGCAUGUGGUUUAAUUUCGAAGCAACGCGAAGAACCCUUUACCAGGUCUUGACAUCCUCUGACACUCUAGAGAAUAGAGCGUUCCCCUUCCGGGGGACAGAGUGACAGGUGGUGCAAUGCUGUCGUUCAGGCUUCGUGUCCGUGAGAUGGUUUUGGGGAUUAAGGUUCGA